rnacentral:lncRNA from 1 species
CAUUCACUGUCUUGUCACUGGCCUGCCUGGUGACUGAAAUGCCGGUCAUUGGGAAUCAAAUUUCAUCUUUUUUGUUAUCAAUUCAAACCCAGUGAUGUUUUACCUCUGCUGCUCCUUGUUUUUUUUCCUUUACAGCUCAUACACAUAACAAAUGAACUGCUGGAAUGUUGCCUCUUCUGAAGAUAUAAGCUAAGCUUGGUUCAACAACAUUUUCUCGUUGA